AUGAUAGAGGCCUCUCAAGUAACUCAUUAUUGAUACACUCUGUACUCUUCUAAAAGGGAAGAUGAUAACCAUAGCUCCUAAGAACUUUAUCUUUGCUAGGCAGGUAGAAGCAUUGGACCUAGAAAGAGGUUUUGGAACUGAACCAUCUGGACGGGGAUGAUGUAAAAUAGAUAGGUGAGAAAUAUGGAUGCCUUGGGAGAUGCUAGAAGGGAGAUAAAUAAUGGAGGAAAUGAUCCCAUAAAAUAAGCAUUCAAGGAAGAGCUUCUGCCUUGGAGUGGAAAAUGAUGAGGAGGAGAGUGACCAAUUCUGGAACCUCCCUCACAUCUCAAUUGGUUGAAAGAGGGGAAAUAUCUAUAUCUGUAUUUAUAUGUACUUCUUCCAUGGGUCAAAAAAAUCUAUUUUACCCUAAAGGUAAGUAGGCAAAUGGGAGAGGAGAAGGAAAAAGUGGUGAUAAACAUUGGGCAGUUAAAAGAAUGCAGUAGUCAUGUGCAAAAUAGAAACUAGCGGAGGAAUGGAAUAAAAAGAGAGAAAGAAGGAAAAACAGAAUCAGCUACAACAUGACUGUGUUAAUGGGAUGAAAAAAAGCAAGAGGGCAGUAAAAUGAAUUAGAAACCAGACUUCAGACUGUGUUUGUUUUUUCUUUCUUUAUUUGUAUUUUGAAUAGAAACAUAUUUGAAAGAAAGAGAGAGCCAGAGUUAAAAUAGAGGGCUAAAGCAGAAACUUUUAUACCUCAUAUGAAAGAUAAAAUAUAAAGAAAGCAAUCAUGACAUCAGAAAAAAAAUGCAGAGCAAAAUUAGGCCUCAGGGAAAGGGAUUAGUGUGCAACCUAAUUCUUGUUUAGGGGAACCACAGUCAAUUCAGUAUGAAAAGAGGAUUCAAAUUCUUAAAGGAAAAGUUUAAUGCAUUACAGGAAGAAAAAGACAAUCAAACUAUAGUGGCAGGGGACCUCAACUUUUCCUGUGUGACCUAGACAAAUACAACCAUAAAAUAAAUAAGAAAAAAGUGGAGGAAAGUAAUAAAAUUUAGAUGACUUAGAAAACUUAGAUAUAAAAGACCUCUAGAGAAAACUCAAUAGAAGCUGAAUGUACUACAGACAGAUGUUGCUUUAUUUUAAUUCUUAUUAUGCAAAUUGGAUUUUAUGCCAGGAAUUCUCCCAAACCACCUCUAUACUGGGAUCUCAUUCAGCUCCUGCCCUUCAAUUCUGGUACUCUGUGGCCUCCUAUCACCAAUGCCCCCCCCCAAAAAACCUUUAAAAACCCUUCUCCAGCAGAAAGCAGAACAGACCUGCAGAGAGACAGCCGCCACCACCACUGAUGGAUCCGGGCUUGCCUUAAGACCUCCAGUACUGAUGCAGGACCACUUGCUUUCAAUGCACCCACCCACCUGAGAGUCUGGCCCCUGCAUUUGGGUGUUUUGUCCAUCAUUGGAGCACCACAUCUGUGCCAUGCCACAGGUUUCUAUGUCUGUGCUUCCUGACAUGUUCUUCCUAUCAGUUCCAGCCAGGCUCUCCUGGGGCUGGCCCCUGCAAGAAAGUGUUUCUCCUGCACUUGAUUCUUUGUAUCUAGCCUUUAUGUGUCAUUGACCCAUGUGCUGGCUCCACAGGGGCAGUCUCCUUCCUGCCUCCCUUGUAGCUUUUUACACAUCCGUGGGUAAAAUCACAUUAUGUAAAGGAUCUGCAGAAUGAUUCAUUGAAAAAAGUUAUGGACUAUGUUGUCGUUUCUUCCCCCCCCCCCCCCCCCACAAACUUCUCCCUAAGUUUUUCGAUUUAGCUGCAUUGAUUUAGUUUGUGGAAAACCUUGUUAAUUUUAUGUAAGCCAGAUUGUCCAUGUUGCUUCUUUUGAACCUGACUGUCGUUUGCUUGGUCGGGAUUCCUUUCCCAUCUUCUGUGCUUCUCUGUUUAUGAUAUUAGUCAGUAUGUCCAAGGAAUAUACCCAUUUUCAGUUUCACUCUGUCUUUUCUGUGAAAACUUUUUCCAACCUAAGAUUCUGUUACACUACUUGCCAAUUUUCCUAGCAGCUUUUAUCGAAUUGUGAAUUUUUCCAUAGCUGGGAUUAUUAGCUUUUUCAAACAAAUGGAUGAUGUGCUCUUUUGCUCUUGUAUGUUGUGUGCCUAAUGUGUUUCUAUGGUCAGUCUUUCUGUUUCUUACUCAAUAAUAUAUUUGUAAUGAUACUGGCUUGCUAUUGUAGUUUUAUGAUCUGGUACUGCUAUGCCCCUUUCCUCCCCAAUUUUUCCAUUAAUUUUCUUGAUAGUCUUAAUUUUUGUUCAUCCAGACGAAUUUUGUUAUCCUUUUUUAAUGUUCCCAACAGAUUCUCUGGUAUUUUGAUUUGUAUUGCAUUAUGCUAGUAAAUUAAUAUAGGCAGCAUUAUCAUUUUUGGCCUGGCGAUGAACAAUUCAUAUUUCUCCACUUAUCUAGAGCUGCUUUUAUUUGUGUAAAAAGUGACCUGAGUUCAUGGCGUUGCUAUCUAGGUUUUGGCAGGUGGACUUCUACUUAUUUCAUACUAUAUAUAAUGUCAAUGGAAUUUGUCUUUUUAUACCUUUCUGUUAGAUUUUAUUGAUAAUUUAUAUGAUACUGAUAACUUCCUUGGGUUCAUUUACACUCUCCUGUCUUGCUGAUAUUGGUAAACAUUUCAUUUAAGUUUUCAUUGAUUCUGUAGCUUUCUCUAAGGAAACAAUCAUAUCAUCUGUAAAAAAACAUUUUUUAAUUUAUUGUUUGCCUCUUUGCUGUUUAUACUUUGCAUUUCUUUUCUUUAGAGUUACUGCUAUAGCAAGCAUUUCUGGUACAGUAUGGAAUUAUAGUGAUGACCACGAAUAUCUGUAAUGUCUCCAAAAGAAAAACUUUUGAUUCUUAUCGAAAAUUAUUUAAUUGCAAGGUCAGCAGAUUACCAUUAAAUAAGGUCAGCUAAGACCUCAGUGGUGUAUGAUAAACUGGAAGGUCACAGAGCUUAUUUUAUAACACAAAAUGAGCCAUGAUUCAUCAAUUUUACAGAGGUCUAGGGAGAUUGACAACAGUCAGCUGCUGGACAUGUCAGGAGUGUAAUGAGGAGAUUUUAGGGAAAGGUAACUGUUCAAUUUAAUACUUCAUUGGCUUAGAAUUUAUUUUAUCGUUCUGUGAAUUUUUUUGAAAAGUCUUCUUCAGUGUUUCUUUAAGGAUUUCUGCUAUGGAUCUGUUUAGCUCACUGAAAAGGAGUCACUUACUAAAAGAUGGUUAUUUUAUUUCUUUUAAGAUAUAUUUAGGCUCCUUCUAACUUAUCUACUAUUACAUCUUAUUAAAAGAUUCAUUCAGUGAAUCUAAUUGGAAAUUAAGACAAAGGAUAUUUAUGGGAAAGGAAAUCUCUAACGUGAUACUAAAGUAAAUUCAUGUUAUCAAUAUUAAUUGAUUUAGAGAUUAUCCUUUUCAUAUCCUCUCUUUACUUUUGUUUUUAUUGCAAACUCUUCUGUCUUGCCUCUAUUACAAAUAACACUAGUUCUUUAUUUUAGACAGAUAAUAUUUACUGGUUUUAGGAAAGCCCCAUUUAUUCCUAUGUUUCUUGUGUUUUGCAUAGUAAUAGGUUUUGUAUUUUGGUGGUUUAAAAUUUUUGCAUCAAUAUUCAUUAUAGAAUUUGGUCUCUACUUUUGUUUCUGUAUGGAUUCAUUUUAGGCAUCAAGGCAAUAUUUAUAUGAUAUAAUGCAUUUGGUAGGACCCAGUCAUUGUCUGUUUCUUGAACCAUUUAGACGGGUUGGAAAUAAUUGUAUUUACAUGGUUCUAAGAAGUUGCUUUUAAAUCCAUUUUGUCCUCAGGGUUCACUUAGAAAGAACAUUGGGGAAGAUUUAAUAGCAUCACUAACUCCCAUAUUAGAUUUAAAAAAAAAUCCAAAGUCUUUUGUGAUCCCAGCACUGACCAAGUUGGGGCCACAGAUAUAAAGCUAGAUAACUAAAGUUGUGGAACUGCUAAAAAAAAAAAACACCUUAACAGAUUCUGGAGAUUUUGCUAUCACUCAUUAAGGAGAUUGGCAAUGAGUCGUUUUAAGAUUGCAGGUAAGAGCUCCUGAGCCUGUGGGGUAGUUCCCAUUGUGAAACAUCUUUGUAAUUUCUGAGAUACCAGCCUGAAGAAUUUCUAUUAAGCUAAAAUAAGGAUGACAUCUUAUAAAAGUGUAAAAAGUUUUUAAAAGCAGUUGACAAAUUAAGAUCAUCAUAGCCAAUGUUCCUCUGUUUCCUCAUCUUCUCAGAGCAGAUUAAGAAAAGAGAAUGCUGGAGAAUUGUAGGAAAACUUGAAUUCUGCCUCAUCUGGCAGAAAAGGGGAGGCAGCAACUGCAGCGGGGCCCUAGAAACCCUGGCCCAGCAUCUCCCCAAACCAGCAGCUGCAGAUGGGGUUGGGGGGAGGGUCAGGCCCGAAGGCCAGCACUCUCUGAGCCCUAACAUUUAUCUCAAUCCACUAAUCCAUCUAGGUGUCCCUGCUUAUAAGUUGCGGGAGUUACAGCUAAGCCAACGUGUCUGUUAUUUAUGAACAUUGUGAGAUGCUUAAUUCAGAUAUUUGUCCUUCUUGCCAUAGCGUUAAAUGUAAAAUUGGUGACUGCUGCUUAUUCUGAGCACUUGGCUCUAGGUAUGAAAGUAUGCUCCCCAAUUAAUGUAUGCCCCCAGCCCCUGCCAGGAUGGGGGAGGUGUCACAGAGCACAGCCCACAGCAGGCCUGAGGCUAGAGGGGGUGUGCAUGGAGGGGCAAGAAGCUCAGCCCCUUCUCUGGGUCUUUGUCUAUUCCCCUCAAUUUGUAAACUGGGUAAGGUCCUUGACACCAUAUUGUGAGAGGGUAUAUAGGCCAUCAGCCCUGGAAAUACUUGUUAUGGCUGAACAAAGUCCCAAACAAGGAGCGGGAUUAAUGAGAAUCUACAGAUCUUUUUGUGAUACAGAAGAGUUUUCUAAUGACUGGGCUUUAUGCCAGGAUUAGUUUAAGGAUGAGAAGAAAACCAAGUGAAAAAUGUUAAGUGAAAUUUUUACGUAGGAGCAUGCUGGCAAACCUUGUCAUUGUCACAAGGCUAACUUAAUGGGUUGUACUGAGUCACCUUACAGAGGUUCCCACUGUUUAAAGAGAUGUGGGGAAGAGGAGUCUAAGUUUAGAAACUGGUGCUAAGGGAAGUGAGCAGAAGCAAGAGAACACUGUACACAGUAUCAACAAGGUUAUGUGAUGAUCAACUGGGAGGGACUUGGCUCUUUUCAACACUGAGGUGAUUCCAGGCGAUUCCAAUAAGCUUGGGAUGGCAGGGGCCAUCUGCAUCCAGAGAGAGGACUACAAAGGCUGACUCUAGAGCAGAGCACAGUAUUUUUCACCUGUGUUGUUGUUUGGUUGCUUGUUUUUGUUUUUGUUUUUCCUUUUCUCAAUUUUUUUUCCUUUUUGUCUAAUUUCCUCUGUGUGUGCAACAUGAUGAGUAUCUUUAGGAUACUGAUCCUGACACAUGUUCAACCUAUAUCAGAUUGCCGGCUGUCUUAGGGAGGAUAGAGAGAAACAUUUGAAACGCAAGGUUUUCUGAAGGUGAAUGUUGGAAACUAUCUUUGCAUGUCCUUGGAAAAAUAAAACAGGAUAAAAAGUGUUUUCUGUAAUGGUCGAACUGAAAACCAUCUUUUAGAUAUCACACUAUGUUGUGGGUUUUCUGUGAUUAGUCUCGCAGUGUUACCUAUGGAAGCUUACGGGCAAUAAGUGUUAUUUCGGGUAUGUGAUGUUUGAGAGCUGAAGCCCCGAGAAUGAAACUUGCUAUUGGAGACAGAAUCUCUUAGGACUCGCUGAUGCUGCUUUGAGCUCUGAAUUCAGGUAUGAUUGUCUGAUGGCCCAUCAAGCCAGUCAGUCCUCAUUGGAAAGAGCUGUCACAGCCUACUCAGAGGGGAGUGAUCCUGCACACUCAGAGGUGGAGGUCUGCAUCUGGCAAAAGCUGAGAGGACAAGCUUUGGCUUCAUUAUUGUGAGAACUUCCCAUCCUGUUUCCCAGCUGUGUUCUUUGACUCGGAAGGUCUCCCAAUUUACUUUUCCCAGUCUGUGUAUGAGAUAGAAUGGUGACCACAUGAUUGCUUGUAGACUGUGACUCUUACCUCAAGUCCAACAGACCCAAGAAUGCUUUAUUCCGACAGCCGUGUGCCUUUAGACUUAAGCCAGAAGGACCAGUUUGAUACUGUUAUAAUCGUGUUCUUGCUUUUCCUUUUAUAGCAGUUUUCCAUAAUGAGAGCAAGUGAUCAGUAGAAAAAAUGAGCACAAUACCACCUCUUUGCUUCUGAAGGGGGUCUCUGUGCUCUGGCCAAUACUUCCUGGUGCGUUGUCAUCCACACCCUCCAACAAAUUGCACUAUGGGCCAACCGAUCCUCAAGAAGACAAGUGUUAAUCAGAUUUCAGAGGGCCCUACAGGACAGCUAUCUGUCAGCACCUCAGCCUCUGGAAGUGUGAUCCCACCUGUGGAUGCUGCUCUUCCCACCUGUGGAUGCUGCUCCUCCCACCUGUGGAUGCUACUCCUCCCACCUGUGGAAGGUGCUGGGCUGCAAUUCCCAUCCAGCUCCACUCACUCAUGACUAAGCCUUUAAGCAGGAGCAGGUCUAUGCCCCUUAUCAGCUGGAAACAGUUAUGGAAAAUGAGACAUUCAUUCCUGGCCCCAAAGGGAUUUGGGUCACAGGUCUUUGAGGGGAAUCAUGGAGUGUUUGCUGCUGCCGCAGCCCCAGCAGUUCUACCACUUUCUCUCAGAGACUUCAUUGGAAUAAAAGGACCCUUUGCUUUUUCCAUGUAUAAGGCGCUGCCCCCGCUCCGGAACAAAAGGGUUUUUACCCUUUUCACAGGGACCUUGCUCAUGCAUGCCCGACCUGGGAUUGUAAAAGAAGUGCAAAAUCUACUGAGCUCAUCCAACUUGCUGCCAAAUUCUCCUAUUUUUUGCUUCCUUUCCCUUCUCUGAAUGAACCCUCACAUCACUCUGCUGGGUGUCCCCACCCCCUUAAAGAGGAGGUUCCCAGUGUGGUUUACCCUUUACUUAAGCAAAUGGCCAAAUCAGUGUCUUUGCUUGAUUUGAGGUGGUUUGAGCCUGACUUCUUUCAGAGAAGCUACCAGAAACCAUUGCCCAGCACCCCCGAUCUUCAGUGUACCCCAGCGUUGAGUCUUUUCUCACAAAAGGUCCCAACUUCCUCCUUACUAAAUGUGAGUCCCACUAGGGCACUGUGCCUGAUUUAUGGCAUCAUAAUAAAACGUUUUGCCCCUUGAA